rnacentral:rRNA from 1 species
UACAGAGGGGGCAAGCGUUAUUCGGAAUUAUUGGGCGUAAAGGGCGCGUAGGCGGCCUGGCAAGUGGAAGGUGAAAUCCCUCGGCUUAACCGAGGAACUGCCCUCCAAACUGCUUGGCUUGAGUCCGGGAGAGGUGAGUGGAAUUCCCAGUGUAGCGGUGAAAUGCGUAGAUAUUGGGAGGAACACCAGUGGAGAAGGCGGUUCGUCUGGGCCUUACCUGACGCUGAGGAGCGAAAGCGUGGGUAGCAACAGG